GACGAACGCUGGCGGCGUGCUUAACACAUGCAAGUCGAACGGAAAGGCCCUGCUUUUGUGGGGUGCUCGAGUGGCGAACGGGUGAGUAACACGUGAGUAACCUGCCCUUGACUUUGGGAUAACUUCAGGAAACUGGGGCUAAUACCGGAUAGGAGCUCCUGCUGCAUGGUGGGGGUUGGAAAGUUUCGGCGGUUGGGGAUGGACUCGCGGCUUAUCAGCUUGUUGGUGGGGUAGUGGCUUACCAAGGCUUUGACGGGUAGCCGGCCUGAGAGGGUGACCGGCCACAUUGGGACUGAGAUACGGCCCAGACUCCUACGGGGGGCAGCAGUGGGGAAUAUUGCACAAUGGGCGGAAGCCUGAUGCAGCAACGCCGCGUGCGGGAUGACGGCCUUCGGUUUGUAAACCGCUUUCGCCUGUGACGAAGCGUGAGUGACGGUAAUGGGUAAAGAAGCCCCGGCUAACUACGUG
rnacentral:rRNA from 1 species